rnacentral:RNase_P_RNA from 1 species
CAGCGCGGGCGUUUCGUCGCUCACUCACGCAUGAGGGGUGAGAGGAAAGUCCGGGCAACACAGAGCACCAUAUUUCUUAACGAGAAGCUAUCGGUAACGGUAGAGAAGUGUGACAGAAAAUAACCGCCUCCACACGGAGGUAAGGGUGAAAAGGUGGAGUAAGAGCCCACCGGAUGCAAUAGCGAUAUUGCAUGCCGCACACCUUAUGGGUUGCAAGCUCAAGUAUACCGGCAUUUAAGGGCUGCUCGUCCAUUGUCGGGGGGUAGAGUGCUGAAACGCACGUUUCAAGCGGUGUGGCGACACAUCGUUAAGAUAAAUGACGAAACGCCGUGGCAUCUCCCCAUCGGGGAUAGUACCACGGCGACAUAACCCGGCUUAUAGCCUGCGCUAAGCU